GCCUGGGUGGCUCAGUCAGUUAAGCAUCUGACUUCGGCUCAGGUCAUGAUCUCAUGGUUCGUGGGUUCGAGCCCCGCGUCGGGCU
rnacentral:tRNA from 1 species